AUUAGUCACUCCGCUGAGUGAUUCAAAGGGGUCUGCACGCUGGAAUUGCCCCUCUCCUGCCGGGAAGUGGGGACGGGGAACGCCCGGCUGCGCCCCAGGUCGGGCCGCUGGAACCCCACUCCAAAGGAGUUGGAACAGCAAUCGACAAAUGGGGGAACAGAUCAAACAGGACGCCUCAAGGGGGAGCUGAGCCACGAGGACGGGCCAGAGGGUCCGGGGCCCCAAGGCUGGAACAAAGGCCGCCCUCAAGCGCCCAGGGCGCGGCGCCAUCCAGUCCUGUCCGGCGCGGUCCCCAGGGACGCCGCCGUGACCAGGAGCUGCCUCUCCGUGCCGAGCAAGCGGAGGGGCUAAUUAGUGCUUUUAAUAUGCAAAUCAGGGCCCGGGCAGAUUCAUCCGGGGCACAAAACCAGCCGGUGAAUAUGUUAUUUUAAUUAUUACUCCCAAGGAGAUAGGGUCUGGCUUAAGAGGGUGGGCAGGCCAGCGGGGUGACGCUGUGUAGAAGGACCCUGGUGAAGGCGACACACCCAGCUGGGAAGGGCCUGCUUCGCGGGUGUGGACGGAGGGAGCAUGCAGGGGCCGCCUGUGGGCCGACAGCUGCUCCCUCAGGCCUCUGCCACAGUGACACGCGCAGGAGCCCGGUGAACACAGUCGCCGUUCAUUCGUUCGUGCAGUGGACAUUUCCUGGUGGUCCAGCAUGUGCCAAGCCCUGCACCAGAGCGAGGAAGGACACGUUCAUUUGGGAAGUCCAUUUUCCCCACGAUCCGAUCCUCUGUGUCACAUUGGCUGCUGGGACUCCAGACCCCGAUUCAGACUUCAAGGCAGCCAGGACACGAAAAGACCCUCAUGAAGGAGCACUCCCAGAACUGCUUCAGAAAGUGGCAAGAACAAUGGGAUAAUCGAGGAGGAGUAUUCUGAAGGAGAUUAAUGGCAGCAUGUCUUUUACUAUAGUAACAUUUUAAACAUUUAAAUGCCAUAUUUUCUGAUCAUACUGCACAGUUUGAGAAGUCACAUACCAUGACUUCCGCCACUUUCUGUUAGAAGCAGGUUGCUAAGUAUGGCCCACACUUCUUUUUUUUUUUUGAGAGAGGGUCUUUCUUGUAGUUCAAGUGAGCCUUGAACUCACUAUGUAGCCCAGGCUGGCCUCGAACUUGUGGCAAUUUUCCUGCCUCAGCCUCCCGAGUGCUGGGAUUAUAGGCAGGCGCCACCAUGCGUGGCCCCAGGUGAGAACAUUAAACUCCAAAGAAUCCAGUGUAUGGUGUUAAUAGCCGAUACUGGCUUCAUGCUGAUCUGAUGGGUGGCUGAAGGAGACGUGAACUGAGUUGAGAGGUGUCCUUUUCUUGGGGGGACUACUUUGAAUUGCUUGGAGAACAGGCUUGCUGCAUGGAUGGGGUGGCAAUCAGUAGACUCCCGCUCAGAAACAGUGCUGCUUGGCCCUCUUGGAAUCCGGAUGCCUACUACAGAGCUACGGAGGCGUGUGGGGCAGGGUUGUCCUCAGCGCCUGGGGCAGGUGUGCAGGUGACAGGCAUAGACCUGCUGGGUGCAGACCCACAGCCCUUACAGUCUGGGAAGCAGGCAGGAGGUGGAGAGACGCUGCGUCUCUGUAGGGUACAUGCCUGAGCUGCUUGGCAUUCAUUCCCAUGCUCACCCACAGCCUCCACUGAGCACCUGGUGGCUGCAAUGAAGGACACGGAGACGGGGAGGGACCUGCAGCAGUCACGCUGACUGGCCUCCUGAAGUCAGGUUGACAGGGCCACCAGCGGCUGGCCAUGUUCCAGUCAGCUCAGACUUCACUUCCAUUUAGGGUUUCUGUGCUGGGCACAAAUCCGUCUGUCCUCAAACCACUGUCAGUGGAACCUUCGAGUCAGCUUCCUGCUGGGGAAUUUGAAUGUCAUGUAUAGAUCCAGUCAGUUCUUUCUUUCAAGGACCAAGGCUUUUCUGAUCCCCCAGCUUAACAUUUCUCAUCACCCUGGUGGAAAAUUGGAUAGUCCCAGGAUAGGAUUCUCACUGCCUCUCAAAGAAGCCCAUCAUACCACCACAGUCCCUUCUUUUGUGGACAGAAAAUGGUCUUCCUGCGAGUCCAAAUAUUGGCUGUCCUUCUGCCGCUGGAAGCCCAGCAGGUUCCUCCUGUUGCAUCAGGACUGGAACAGCUUGUGAGAAAGCUGUGGAUGCAGAUAGCCUGGGUGCCUCCUGCCCUCCUGCUGACCAGGGAUGUGAACUUGAGGAAGUACCUGGAGCUUCUGAGCUCUAGCUUCUUCACCGAAAGGGAAAUAAUGCAGUGCUGACCUCAGAGUGAUGUUGAGUGAAUCACGUGGGCGAAUGCUUGAGGAAUGCUGGUGUAAAGGAUGCACUAAAAAAAAUAUGGCCAUCCUAUUGUUAUUGUCAUUUUCCAAAGCAAUGGGCCCUACAACGUUAAGGCAGGGGAAUGAGUUGAUAAGCAAGUGGAGGUUAAUAAAUCUUAGAACUUUGGGCAAAAGCAUGCAUUCUGAAUUACAAGGGAGGAUUCCAUUAUUAUAUGGAAUUAUGAAACAAGGUUGGGCUUAUGAACAAUGAUUGUUCUUGAAUAUAUUAAUAUACAGAGAAAACCUAUGGGGGAGGCAAGAGAAGGAAGAGGACGGGACACAGGGAGAACCUGAGCUGCAGCUCAGGGGCCUCGGACAGCUUUGGUGGACCCCAUGGUGAUCUCAGGACCCCGAAGGCCCUUCCUCGUUGUCCCAAGUUGGGCUGAUGUGGUCAGCCCUUUGUGUUCCCAAUGGAUCAGUUUGUGUGUGGGCUGCACUGGAAGGGAGGUGACCUUGGCUGGAGGAUUCAUGAGGCUGAGGUAAUCCCUGCAGGAGCCAAGAGCUGAAGUUUGUCCGCCAGUGGCACUCCAGCAGGGGAACACAAGCCCCGGUGAAGAGGGCCCGGGUGGGCUGUCGCAGGGCCCUGCACAGUCCACCCCUUGUGCCACUGGGAUGCACUUCUUCAGGUUUGUCCUGGGUGUCCCUCCUUUAGGGUCCAGGUGGACCUCUGCUCCUGAGAAGAGGAAGGUUGUGGGGCCACUGGGGCUGGAACUGCAGCCAGUCCCAGGCUCACUAGUGGCUAGUUGCUGUCUCAUCUCCCUUCUGCACUAGUCCCUUUGGGUCCCCUCUCUCCGCUGGCACUGUUCUGCUCUAGCAGACUGCAUGAGGGUCUCUGACUCCUAGACACCAUGUUCCUCCUGGAACCAGGUCCCUGCACUUUAUCAUUUACCUCCACAGUUGGGUAGUGGAAUAUUGAGAGUUGGCCUGUGGUCUGCCUGGGUGCCAAACGUGGUCUUCCUCGCCCUCACUGCGUGGCACCUGGGCUGCUUUCCUUGUUGAUGAAUCCGGGGCAACCUGCUGUGUCAGGAUGGUGACUCGUGUGUGGGGCCUGGGAUCCUGAAGCAUCUGGCAGCACUUGAAGGGUGUAACCAAGUGGGCUUCUUGGCAGUCUCUGCGUGGAGUUGUUCUUCACGAGAACAGCACCUCUACAUCUAUAGGGGUCAAGAUUGUGGGGACAGGAAGUACAAAUGAGUGCCCCAGAUGAGUCACUGCAGGCUGUGGUGGGCAGGAAUUCUUAGUCUGUUGAAGCUACCGUAACACAGUACCACAGAUUGGGUGGUCUAAACUAUAGACGUUUAUUUCUUCACAGCCCGAGAUCAAGAUGCUCUGUGAAGCCUCUCUCCUUGGCUUGCAGAUGUCUGUAUUCCUCUGUGGGUGUCUACAUCCUACUCUUCUCAGAAGGAUGCCGGUCAUAUUGCAUUAGGGCCCAACAACAUGACCUCAUUUUUUACCUUAGUCACCCUUUUAAAGGUUCUGCUUCCAAUUACCAUCUUAUUCUGUGGUAGUAGAAGUUAGGGUUUCAACAUAUGCAUUGGGGGAAGGAAGCACAGUUGAGCCUGCAAUAUGCUUCUGUGUCUCCCUCCCAUAGUCCUGAAUUGCAUCCUUCUGAUCUAUGCAUUCUCCCUAUUAGGGCACAGUGCUACAUAAAGGACUAGGAUUUAAGUGGCAUAUUGUACCCUGGAGGAGGAUACCCCAUCUUUGCAAAGCAUUACUUUAACCUGGGAUACGGUUGUGGCUGUACAGCAGUCUAGAUACUGAGUAGUGUAGAAAUGGCCGCUGGAUUGAAUGCUCAUGGCCACUCCUGCACCUCUGCUGCCACAAAGGGCAUUUCUAUCUGAGGAAGAGGACAUGGAAUCUUGUGCCUAGGAUCAAAUGCCCCAUCUCCCCUUGGACAAUGGUGAUGGCUGACAUCCUGUGGGCAAGAAAUGAAAAACCAUACCUGGCACAUAAGUCUGGUGUUUGGGGAUAGAAGGGACCCAAUGUAGUCCACUUGCCACCGAGUCCCACAUGGUGCCAUACUGGGACUCGGUGUUAGGCUCUGUUCCAUUAGAUUGCUCACUUGGGGGUGGCAGUAGCCCUUCAGCCUGGGAAAGGGGGAGCACAGGCUGUUGGAGCCCUGUGCAGUCUGCACAGCCACUUGGCUCCUGUGGCCUUCGUGGUAGUGCUGGGGUGGCUGGUGACAGAGUCUGGCUGAGUCACCUGUCAUCAUUUUAGCCAUCAUUCCCAGAGCCGUCUUGCUGGUUUGCACUGUUCUUGCAUCCUUGCCAGGAGGUCGGACCCUGUGUGUGAGAGAGCAAAUCCAAUUGGUCGAAUCUCCCUUUUCCAGCCCUGGCCCCUUGACCAAGCACCCUCAGAUGCCAGUGUUCUGGCAGGCUCCUGGUGGCACUUUUCAGGUGGGCACUGAAACGCCUUUGGUGUCGAUGUUCCCCUGUGGGUCAUGCUGGAGCUUAACCCUGGUCAUGGGCCUGUUGGGAGCAAUGCUACAUAAUUUUAGGGUAAAAUCAUUUGGUUAGCCUAGUUCUC